AGAGUUUGAUCCUGGCUCAGACGAACGCUGGCGGCGUGCUUAACACAUGCAAGUCGAACGAUGAAGCCCUUCGGGGUGGAUUAGUGGCGAACGGGUGAGUAACACGUGGGCAAUCUGCCCUUCACUCUGGGACAAGCCCUGGAAACGGGGUCUAAUACCGGAUAACACUCCUCUGGGCAUCCAGGGGGGUUGAAAGCUCCGGCGGUGAAGGAUGAGCCCGCGGCCUAUCAGCUUGUUGGUGAGGUAGUGGCUCACCAAGGCGACGACGGGUAGCCGGCCUGAGAGGGCGACCGGCCACACUGGGACUGAGACACGGCCCAGACUCCUACGGGAGGCAGCAGUGGGGAAUAUUGCACAAUGGGCGAAAGCCUGAUGCAGCGACGCCGCGUGAGGGAUGACGGCCUUCGGGUUGUAAACCUCUUUCAGCAGGGAAGAAGCGAAAGUGACGGUACCUGCAGAAGAAGCGCCGGCUAACUACGUGCCAGCAGCCGCGGUAAUACGUAGGGCGCAAGCGUUGUCCGGAAUUAUUGGGCGUAAAGAGCUCGUAGGCGGCUUGUCGCGUCGGUUGUGAAAGCCCGGGGCUUAACCCCGGGUCUGCAGUCGAUACGGGCAGGCUAGAGUGUGGUAGGGGAGAUCGGAAUUCCUGGUGUAGCGGUGAAAUGCGCAGAUAUCAGGAGGAACACCGGUGGCGAAGGCGGAUCUCUGGGCCAUUACUGACGCUGAGGAGCGAAAGCGUGGGGAGCGAACAGGAUUAGAUACCCUGGUAGUCCACGCCGUAAACGGUGGGAACUAGGUGUUGGCGACAUUCCACGUCGUCGGUGCCGCAGCUAACGCAUUAAGUUCCCCGCCUGGGGAGUACGGCCGCAAGGCUAAAACUCAAAGGAAUUGACGG
rnacentral:rRNA from 1 species